rnacentral:rRNA from 1 species
UCAGUACCCGUAGGAGAAGAAAACAAUUGUGAUUCCGUGUGUAGUGGCGAGCGAUAGCGGAUGAGGCUAAACCGUGUGCGUGUGAUACCUGGCAGGGGUUGCGUGUGCGGUGUUGUGGGGCGCAAAUGUUGCAGGCUGCUAACUGCAAGCGCGAUGCGCACAUAUCAGCGGAAGCAUCUGGGAUGGUGCAGCGGAGUAGGUGAAAAGUCCUGUACGUGAAGGUGUGUGUGGUUGUGUUGUUUGUGUUUUCCCGAGUAGCAGCGGGCUCGUGGAAUCUGCUGUGAAUCUGCCGGGACCACCCGGUAAGCCUAAAUACUCAGUGUGACCGAUAGUGUAUGAGUACCGUGAGGGAAUGGUGAAAAGUACCCCGGGAGGGGAGUGAAAGAGUUCCUGAAACCGGUCGCAUGCAAGCCGUCAGAGCCUGUGUGGUGAUGGCGUGCCUUUUGAAGAAUGAGCCUGCGAGUUAGUGAUGCGUGGCGAG